ensembl:lncRNA
AUGGUGAUAGGUGGAAUGGGCUGAGAGUGGCUGAGGGGCGGGAUUAAAGAGCUGAGGUCAAUGGUGAUAGGUGGGAUGGGCUGAGAGUGGCUGGGGAGCGGGAUUAAAGAGCUGAGGUCUAUGGUGAUAGGUGGAAUGGGUUGAGGGUGGCUGAGGGGUGGGAUUAAAGAGCUGAGGUCUAUGGUGAUAGGUGGAAUGGGCUGAGAGUGGCUGAGGGGCGGGAUUAAAGAGCUGAGGUCAAUGGUGAUAGGUGGGAUGGGCUGAGAGUGGCUGGGGAGCGGGAUUAAAGAGCUGAGGUCUAUGGUGAU